ACGAACGCUGGCGGCGUGCUUAACCCAUGCAAGUCGCACGGAAAGGCCCUGCUUUUGUGGGGUGCUCGAGUGGCGAACGGGUGAGUAACACGUGAGUAACCUGCCCUUGACUUUGGGAUAACUUCAGGAAACUGGGGCUAAUACCGGAUAGGAGCUCCUGCUGCAUGGUGGGGGUUGGAAAGUUUCGGCGGUUGGGGAUGGACUCGCGGCUUAUCAGCUUGUUGGUGGGGUAGUGGCUUACCAAGGCUUUGACGGGUAGCCGGCCUGAGAGGGUGACCGGCCACAUUGGGACUGAGAUACGGCCCAGACUCCUACGGGAGGCAGCAGUGGGGAAUAUUGCACAAUGGGCGGAAGCCUGAUGCAGCAACGCCGCGUGCGGGAUGACGGCCUUCGGGUUGUAAACCGCCUUCGCCUGUGACGAAGCGUGAGUGACGGUAAUGGGUAAAGAAGCACCGGCUAACUACGUG
rnacentral:rRNA from 1 species